UACAGAGGGUGCAAACGUUGUUCGGAAUUACUGGGCGUAAAGGGCGCGUAGGCGGCCUGUUAAGUCGAACGUGAAAUCCCCGGGCUCAACCCGGGAACUGCGUCCGAUACUGGCAGGCUUGAAUCCGGGAGAGGGAUGCGGAAUUCCAGGUGUAGCGGUGAAAUGCGUAGAUAUCUGGAGGAACACCGGUGGCGAAGGCGGCAUCCUGGACCGGCAUUGACGCUGAGGCGCGAAAGCCAGGGGGAGCAAACGGG
rnacentral:rRNA from 1 species